GAUGAAGACGCAGCGAAAUGCGAUAAGUAAUGUGAAUUGCAGAAUUCAGUGAAUCAUCGAAUCUUUGAACGCAUCUUGCGCUCCUUGGUAUUCUGAGGAGCAUGCCUGUUUGAGUGUCAUUAAAUUCUCAACCGCACUGACUUUGAAUUGGUGUGGCUUGGAUUUGGGGGGAAAAUUGUUGUGGGCUUUUUUGUAUAGUCUGCUCCCCUGAAAUUGAUUAGCGGUACCUUUGUGGAACUGUCUACAGGUGUGAUAAUUAUCUACAUCCUAGACAUCUGCUGGAAUGCUGCUUUCUAAACCUUACUUGUAUUGACAAUCUUGACCUCAAAUCAGGUAGGACUACCCGCUGAACUUAAGCAUAUCAAUAAGCGGAGGA
rnacentral:misc_RNA from 1 species